AACGAACGCUGGCGGCAUGCCUAACACAUGCAAGUCGAACGAAGCCUUCGGGCUUAGUGGCGCACGGGUGCGUAACGCGUGGGAAUCUGCCCUUGGUUCGGAAUAACAGUUAGAAAUGACUGCUAAUACCGAAUGAUGUCUUCGGACCAAAGAUUUAUCGCCCAAGGAUGAGCCCGCGUCGGAUUUAGCUAGUUGGUGAGGUUAAAGGCUCACCAAGGCGACGAUCCGUAGCUGGUCUGAGAGGAUGAUCAGCCACACUGGGACUGAGACACGGCCCAGACUCCUACGGGAGGCAGCAGUGGGGAAUAGUUGGACAAUGGGCGAAAGCCUGAUCCAGCAAUGCCGCGUGAGUGAUGAAGGCCUUAGGG
rnacentral:rRNA from 1 species